AAUCUUGCGCAAUGGGCUAAAGCCUGACGCAGCCAGCCCGCGUGAAUGAUGAAGGUCNNNGGAUUNUAAAAUUCUUUCAUCGGNGAANAUAAUGAUGGUACCUGGAGUAGAAGCCCCUGCUUACUUCGUGCCAUCAGCCGCGGUAAUACGAAGGGGGCUAGCGUUGCUCGGAAUUACUGGGCGUAAAGGGCGCGUAGGCGGAUCGUUAAGUCAGGGGUGAAAUCCCGGGGCUCAACCUCGGAAUUGCCCUUGAUACUGGCGAUCUUGAGUAUGAGAGAGGUAUGUAGAACUCCGAGUGUAGAGGUGAAAUUCGUAGAUAUUCGGAAGAACACCAGUGGCGAAGGCGACAUACUGGCUCAUUACUGACGCUGAGGCGCGAAAGCGUGGGGAGCAAACA
rnacentral:rRNA from 1 species